UACGUAGGGGGCGAGCGUUGUCCGGAUUCAUUGGGCGUAAAGAGCUCGUAGGCGGCUUAGCAAGUCGGGUGUAAAACCUCCAGGCUUAACCUGGAGAGGCCACCCGAUACUGCUAUGGCUAGAGUCCGGUAGGGGACCACGGAAUUCCUGGUGUAGCGGUGAAAUGCGCAGAUAUCAGGAGGAACACCGGUGGCGAAGGCGGUGGUCUGGGCCGGUACUGACGCUGAGGAGCGAAAGCGUGGGGAGCGAACAGG
rnacentral:rRNA from 2 species